CAGCCUGGAGGAGGUGGCUGCACUCCCCCCUCUAUUCCAGGGGCAGGGGCUGCAGGCAGCUGGAAAAAGGAGGAAAAAACUGCAAAAAAGAGCACAGAAAAUCGCCACGAAGCUGUCGGAGACCUUGGAGGCGGCCAUGCAGUUUUGAGGCACCUACAAAUUAAAUGAAAAUAUUGUAUUUAAUUGA